rnacentral:rRNA from 1 species
UACGAAGGGGGCUAGCGUUGCUCGGAAUCACUGGGCGUAAAGCGCACGUAGGCGGAUCUUUAAGUCAGGGGUGAAAUCCUGGAGCUCAACUCCAGAACUGCCUUUGAUACUGGGGAUCUCGAGUCCGGGAGAGGUGAGUGGAACCCCGAGUGUAGAGGUGAAAUUCGUAGAUAUUCGGAAGAACCCCAGUGGCGAAGGCGGCUCACUGGCCCGGUACUGACGCUGAGGUGCGAAAGCGUGGGGAGCAAACAGG